GACGAACGCUGGCGGCGUGCUUAACACAUGCAAGUCGAACGAAGUGGCGAACGGGUGAGUAACGCGUAAUCAACCUGCCCUUAAGAGGGGGACAACAGGUGGAAACGACUGCUAAUACCGCAUACUGAAGGAGGGGAUUGCGUCGGAUGAGCUAGUGGGAGGGGUAACGGCCCACCAAGGCGAUGAUCAGUAGCCGGUCUGCGAGGAGGAACGGCCACAUGGGGCCGGAGAGACGGCCCAGCACCUUACGGCAGGCAGCAGUGCGGAAUCUUCCGCAAUGGACGAAAGUCUGACGGAGCAACGCUGCGUGAGUGAUGACGGCCUUCGGGUUGUAAAGCUCUGUUAAUCGGUACGCGGUACCGGAAUAGAAAGCCACGGCUAACUACGUGCCAGCAGCCGCGGUAAUAC
rnacentral:rRNA from 1 species